GAUGAACGCUGGCGGCGUGCCUAAUACAUGCAAGUCGAGCGAACGGACGAGAAGCUUGCUUCUCUGAUGUUAGCGGCGGACGGGUGAGUAACACGUGGAUAACCUACCUAUAAGACUGGGAUAACUUCGGGAAACCGGAGCUAAUACCGGAUGAUAUUUUGAACCGCAUGGUUCAAAAGUGAAAGACGGUCUUGCUGUCACUUAUAGAUGGAUCCGCGCUGCAUUAGCUAGUUGGUAAGGUAACGGCUUACCAAGGCAACGAUGCAUAGCCGACCUGAGAGGGUGAUCUGCCACACUGGAACUGGGACACGGUCCAGACUCCUACGAGAGGCAGCAGUAGGGAGUCUUCCACAAGGGGCGAAAGCCUGACAGAGCAACGCCGCGUGAGUGAUGAAGGUCUUCGGAUCGUAAAACUCUGUUAUUAGGGAAGAACAUAUGUGUAAGUAACUGUGCACAUCUUGACGGUACCUAAUCAGAAAGCCACGGCUAACUACGUG
rnacentral:rRNA from 1 species